UGACUCUGGUUUCUCUUCCUCUUACAAAUCUUUACUUUUACUAAAGACUUCCGUGGAGAGGAACAAACAUGAGUUGAAUAUAUUUUGGCAGGCUUUGCUGUAAACAGGCCU